rnacentral:rRNA from 1 species
AGACCCGAAACCCGGUGAUCUAGCCAUGGGCAGGUUGAAGGUUGGGUAACACUAACUGGAGGACCGAACCGACUAAUGUUGAAAAAUUAGCGGAUGACCUGUGGCUGGGGGUGAAAGGCCAAUCAAACCGGGAGAUAGCUGGUUCUCCCCGAAAGCUAUUUAGGUAGCGCCUCGUGAAUUCAUCUCCGGGGGUAGAGCACUGUUUCGGCUAGGGGGCCAUCCCGGCUUACCAACCCGAUGCAAACUGCGAAUACCGGAGAAUGUUAUCACGGGAGACACACGGCGGGUGCUAACGUCCGUCGUGAAGAGGGAAACAACCCAGACCGCCAGCUAAGGUCCCAAAGUCAUGGUUAAGUGGGAAACGAUGUGGGAAGGCCCAGACAGCCAGGAUGUUGGCUUAGAAGCAGCCAUCAUUUAAAGAAAGCGUAAUAGCUCACUGGUCGAGUCGGCCUGCGCGGAAGAUGUAACGGGGCUAAACCAUGCACCGAAGCUGCGGCAGCGAACGUAUCACUUAAAGCGAUUCAGCGGGUUACGAUUGACGGAGCGAAGCGACGUCAAAGCGUAUACAAAGUCGAGUCGGUUUAAGGAUACGUUCGUUGGGUAGGGGAGCGUUCUGUAAGCCUGUGAAGGUGGCCUGUGAGGGUUGCUGGAGGUAUCAGAAGUGCGAAUGCUGACAUAAGUAACGAUAAAGCGGGUGAAAAGCCCGCUCGCCGGAAGACCAAGGGUUCCUGUCCAACGUUAAUCGGGGCAGGGUGAGUCGACCCCUAAGGCGAGGCCGAAAGGCGUAGUCGAUGGGAAACAGGUUAAUAUUCCUGUACUUGGUGUUACUGCGAAGGGGGGACGGAGAAGGCUAUGUUGGCCGGGCGACGGUUGUCCCGGUUUAAGCGUGUAGGUGUGUGUUCCAGGUAAAUCCGGUUCACUUUAACACUGAGGCGUGACGACGAGGCACUACGGUGCUGAAGCAACAAAUGCCCUGCUUCCAGGAAAAGCCUCUAAGCAUCAGGUAACAUCAAAUCGUACCCCAAACCGACACAGGUGGUCAGGUAGAGAAUACCAAGGCGCUUGAGAGAACUCGGGUGAAGGAACUAGGCAAAAUGGUGCCGUAACUUCGGGAGAAGGCACGCUGACACGUAGGUGAAGUGAUUUACUCAUGGAGCUGAAGUCAGUCGAAGAUACCAGCUGGCUGCAACUGUUUAUUAAAAACACAGCACUGUGCAAACACGAAAGUGGACGUAUACGGUGUGACGCCUGCCCGGUGCCGGAAGGUUAAUUGAUGGGGUCAGCGCAAGCGAAGCUCCUGAUCGAAGCCCCGGUAAACGGCGGCCGUAACUAUAACGGUCCUAAGGUAGCGAAAUUCCUUGUCGGGUAAGUUCCGACCUGCACGAAUGGCGUAAUGAUGGCCAGGCUGUCUCCACCCGAGACUCAGUGAAAUUGAACUCGCUGUGAAGAUGCAGUGUACCCGCGGCAAGACGGAAAGACCCCGUGAACCUUUACUAUAGCUUGACACUGAACAUUGAGCCUUGAUGUGUAG